GCCCCGGUAAACGGCGGCCGUAACUAUAACGGUCCUAAGGUAGCGAAAUUCCUUGUCGGGUAAGUUCCGACCUGCACGAAUGGCGUAAUGAUGGCCAGGCUGUCUCCACCCGAGACUCAGUGAAAUUGAACUCGCUGUGAAGAUGCAGUGUACCCGCGGCAAGACGGAAAGACCCCGUGAACCUUUACUAUAGCUUGACACUGAACAUUGAGCCUUGAUGUGUAGGAUAGGUGGGAGGCUUUGAAGUGUGGACGCCAGUCUGCAUGGAGCCGACCUUGAAAUACCACCCUUUAAUGUUUGAUGUUCUAACGUGGGCCCGUAAUCCGGGUUGCGGACAGUGUCUGGUGGGUAGUUUGACUGGGGCGGUCUCCUCCUAAAGAGUAACGGAGGAGCACGAAGGUUGGCUAAUCCUGGUCGGACAUCAGGAGGUUAGUGCAAUGGCAUAAGCCAGCUUGACUGCGAGCGUGACGGCGCGAGCAGGUGCGAAAGCAGGUCAUAGUGAUCCGGUGGUUCUGAAUGGAAGGGCCAUCGCUCAACGGAUAAAAGGUACUCCGGGGAUAACAGGCUGAUACCGCCCAAGAGUUCAUAUCGACGGCGGUGUUUGGCACCUCGAUGUCGGCUCAUCACAUCCUGGGGCUGAAGUAGGUCCCAAGGGUAUGGCUGUUCGCCAUUUAAAGUGGUACGCGAGCUGGGUUUAGAACGUCGUGAGACAGUUCGGUCCCUAUCUGCCGUGGGCGCUGGAGAACUGAGGGGGGCUGCUCCUAGUACGAGAGGACCGGAGUGGACGCAUCACUGGUGUUCGGGUUGUCAUGCCAAUGGCACUGCCCGGUAGCUAAAUGCGGAAGAGAUAAGUGCUGAAAGCAUCUAAGCACGAAACUUGCCCCGAGAUGAGUUCUCCCUGACCCUUUAAGGGUCCUGAAGGAACGUUGAAGACGACGACGUUGAUAGGCCGGGUGUGUAAGCGCAGCGAUGCGUUGAGCUAACCGGUACUAAUGAACCGUGAGGCUUA
rnacentral:rRNA from 1 species